rnacentral:lncRNA from 1 species
GCUCGUUCUUGCCGGUCUCGAGGUCGACCUUGCACGCCUGCUUCUUGAGCAGCGCCUUGCCGACGCCGACGAGCCUCUGGAGGUUCUCCGGCGUGGAGACGUCGACGGACGCCGCGUCGCCGGUGAGCUCGUCGUCCUGGAUGCGGAGGUAGCGCUUCUCGCAGUGCAGCGCCUGGAAGAGCACGGAUGCGUGGAUGUCGACGAGGUCGGCGCUGGCCUGGCUGAAGCUGUCGAUCAGCGGCGUCGCGCCCUUGUUGAACAGCCAGCCGAGGACGCCCCACCGGCCGCUCUCGACGGCGUCGAACUUCUUCUCGAUCUUGGCCGAGCCGGUGCCCAGCGACAGGAUCAUGAACUUGCCGUAGUCCGCCGGCUUGAUCGGGAAGAAGUCCUGGCAGCCCAGCAGGAUCUGCUUGGUUACGUGUGUCAUCGCCAGCAGCGUCUGCAUGUGUUGUUGGUCAGGUGUCAAACAUCGCACAGUGUACAUGAGAGCAACACAAGUCAUUUCCGUGCCAUAUUUAAGGAAGUUUAGGUCGACAAGUUUCACAAGCUAAUUUGAUAUGACGGGGCUGUUCAGAUUGUAGCUAAAAUAAACCUUAGCAAAUUUUGGUAUGCUAAAAUUUUGGCAAAAUGACAAUAUUGCCAAAAUUUUGGCAGGAUUUCUUAUGUAUUUACCAAAUUUGACAACAAACUAAACGUGAAUAUUUUUUUGUCAACUUUACUCAAAAAAUGGUAUGGUUGAAAAUGGCAUCAAAGUGAAUAGACCCGACGAUUUCUGUUUUUCUUAAUUUGACAAGUAAUUAAAUUCAGUAGGGAUGUGGAUUUUCAUCCCUCGAGGGACAUUCUCUCGUUAUUUGAAUGUUAUCUAAAUAGUUAUAAAAAAAUAAAAAAAAAUUUGUCAACAUAGAUUAAUAUGAAAUAUAUCACUCCACAAACAUGCAAGACCAAAUUUAAUUUCUACAAGUUGCAACAAAAAUAACAAAUUAAACUGAAAAUAGUUAUCGGACAUUCGUAACUAUAUUUGUUAUUUUUGUUACAACUUAUAAAAGUUGAAUUUAAAAUUACAUGUUUGUGGAGUGAUAUAUUUUAUAUUUGAAUUUAAACGUGUGUCGAUGUGUCAUCGCCAGCAGCGUCUGCACGUGUUGGUCCAGUGUCAAACGUCGCAAAGUGUACAUGAGAGCAACACAAGUCAUUUCUGUGCCAUAUUUAAGGAAGUUUAGGUUGACAAGUUUCACAAAGCUAACUUGGUAUGACGAUUUCUGUUUUCUUAAUUUGAUAGGUACUGUAUUAAUUAAAUUCAGUAGUAGUCCACCAAGUCUGGACGACUGGAUUGUGUAUUCCACAAGCACGGCUACUCACCGGAUUGUUCGCGGCGAAGCCGCCGUCGACGAGGUUAAAUUCCCGGGGCUUGCCGUCCUUGUCCGUCGUCUCGAAGCGGUGGCCGGGGAGGUACGUCGGCGCCGCCGACGUGCUGAUGCACACGUCCGACAGAAGCGCGUUCUUGGACACGUCCUUGCGAGCCUGCACAUGCGUGCAAAGACACGAAACAAUUUUAGGACAUGUACAAUUGCAACAAGUUUGUCAGAGUUAUAUACAUAGAGAUCUUCGUGACAUACGUUGUAGGUCGAGAAGAUUGUUGGCUGGAGGAGCUUGAUGUCGAAGGUCGGGACGACGAUGUUGGUGAUGGUGCUGUCGACGCGCUUGUCGCCGAGCAGCUGCUGCACGACGGAGUGGAGGUGCCGGCCGUCGUACUUGGGCCCCGUCAUGCUCUUGAACAGACCGAGAGGCCCCUUGCUGACGGGAGGGAAGAUCCUGGGGCAGUGCUCGAGGUAGAAGUCGUUGAUGUCCCUGGCGGCGAACAGCGGGUCGCCGUUGUCGUUAGGCGCGGUGAGCAUGGCGGUCACCAGCCCGCCGGUGCUCGUCCCGGCGAUCACGUCGAAGUAGUUGGCGAGCCGAGCCUCGGGGCCGUCCAGCUCCUGCAGUUUCUCCUCCAGGAACGCGAGGAUGGUGCCCGGGAUGAUGCCGCGCACGCCGCCGCCGUCGAUGCUCAGCACGGUGACGAUGCUCCCGUACGACGGCGGCGGCGACCGCGGCGUGGACGGCGACAGCAGCGACUUGCCGCGGCUCAGCACGCGCUGCACCACCGGGUUCAACGUCAGUGACCCGUUGCUCUGCUCCGGUGUCUGCACGGGCGCCAUGGGAAACACUAGACUGUGCUAAACAAAACACCGGGAGAUUUUGUGUGUGUGUGUGUGUGUUUCUGCUUCGCUGAUAGCGUCGUCUAGCUCGUGUUUGUGCUUGGCUCUAUCGUUGAUCUCGAUGUGAGUUCGCUGCAGUGCACGGGCGAUGAAUUUAUACGCGAGGACGCCAUCGUUUCCAACAUGAGAAGGUCUCGCGGUCUCGCCUUUGCUGGCUGCUUCGAUCAUCGGAAGCAUCGCGCGUGCGUUCGUUCGUGCAGGUGAUUGCAUUUUGGACGAGUCAGUGGUGCGAUGGAGUUUUGAACCAGUUGGUCGCACCAGCCCAGACACGAGACAGUCACAGGUUACCCGUGCAUGCACGGGUUCGAUCGAUCGCGUACCGGCAAAGAGAGAUAUGAUCGAUGUUGGACAUAUCAUACUACUAUAGGAGUAUGUCGGAGUACAUCUUGGACGCAGUCUAGCUAGCUGGUCUUUCAUCUUUGGCACGUGAGACCGUGACCCGGUUGGUCCACUGGACAGGCGAGACAAUGUUGCCCCAGUCAGCUGUAGGAGCGUGUACUAUAGUAGCGUGCCGUACACUAUGGUUGUAUGGUCUCUGGAUAAAAAUAAAUAAAUAUAUAGGAAGAUAUAUAAUGUAGGAAGAUGAUAUGGUUUCAGCUGUUUACCCGUUCAUGAUAGAUUCUUGUUGAAGCUGCGCGCCCGCGUACGUGUACCAAGAUAUAUAAUAUUUUUUUGUUGGAAAAAGACCAUACGAUUAGUUUGGUUCAAUCUUGACGGCAAUAGCGCCUUCAUCAUCUUCAAAGUUCGUCAUUGAGAAAAUUCCUUUAGUUCUCAUCAGUUUUCGCUCAAAUUUUUAUGCGUUUGAAUUUCCUAUCAUUUCCAUCACGCCCUUGAGUUUUGUCAUAUUUCACUACUGGAGAAGUGAUCUGUAGCGCCCGUUCCGUCGUGGCGCAUAGCGGGAAAAUUAUCUCUUAAAAACCCUAAUUGCGAAAUUUGUUUCUUUGCUUGUUGUCUAGUGUCCAUGCCAUCUCAAGAUCUCAAUCCCCGAUCUAUCGUCGAGUUCAAAUCCGAAUCCAAAUCCUUCCAAAUCAAAUUCCUCCGCAAAAGUCUAUUUUGCCUCCCCCGGGGGUCGAUGGGCCGAUCUCCCCCGGCCCAUCUCCCCCUCUCCCCCGGCCCAUCUUCCCCUCUCCCCUCUCCCCCGGCGCGCUCCCGCUCUCUCUCCCUCUCUCUCGCUCUCUCUCGCCCCCUCCCCUUCCCGGCGCGCUCCCUCUCCCCUCUCCCUCAGCUCCGCUCCGCUCCGCCCGCGCGCCGCGCGCGCGUGCGCGGGAGCCGCGCCGAGCGCUCCUCCUCCUCCGCUCUGUCCGCGCGCGUGCGCGUGAGUCACCGCGCCAAGCGCCUCCUCCCCUCGCAAAGCCGGCCCCCGCGCGCUGUUGUUCGCGCGUGCGCCCGCGUGGUCCUCGCCCGCACCGCGUGGUCGCUGCCCGGCCCCGCUGCCCUGCCGCGCCUGCAGCCGCUCGGCCCCGCAGCCAGCGCGUGUGCCGAGCCGCGCCCUCCUGUUGCGAGCCGCGCGCGCGUGCCGAGUGGCCGACCGCCUGGUCGCCGCCGUCGUCAGCGCCUGCCGCGCCUGUCGCUCGUGUCGUCGCGCCGCUCCAAACCGCCCCGCCGUCAUUGCCGUCGUCACCGCCCGGCCCCCGCCACUCCGCGCGCAAGCCGCCAAGGGACGGAGGCAGCGCCCCUCCUCCCUCUGCCGCGUCGCCCCCGCUCCCCUCCUCCUUUUUCCCGAAUCGGCAAAAGGGCAAGCCCCUUUCUCCCCCUCCUUUUUCCCCUUUUUCCCCGCCGGCGUCAUCCUCCCUGUCGCCGCUUUGGCCGCGACCGCCGAGCGCCAGCUCGCGCCUUGACCGCCCUAAGUCGGUUCCCAAACCGACAUUGCCGCCCCCUUUAAACCUCAGCUCCUUCCCCUCCAAUCUCCCUCGUUUUCGCCUCCUCGCCAUAGCUGCCGCCCCUGUGCUCUGUUCGCCGUCACCGUUCGUUGUUGCGCGUGUCGAAGGAGUCGGCACGAGCAAGGACGCGGAAGGGGACUUCGGCCGCACCCUCUCCUUCCUCUUCCCCGGCCCGAGGCCGGAGAGAUUACUCCCGCGCCGUCGGCCUCUCGUCACAGCGCCCCUCCUCAUCUCGGUGAUGCCUCCCUCCGUUCUUCCUCCUCGCUCCAUCUCCUCCCCCUAGCUUUCGGUAGUAGCUCGAGUAGACUCCCCGUAGUUAGCCGGCGCCGCCCCGACCGUUGCCGUCGCUCACCGUGUGCUCGCCGCCGUCGCCGCUCGAGCUCCGUAGCACCCACACGUCGCCAGCCUCGCUCGGCGUAGCUCCGUCCAAUCCGACGCUAGCAUCGAGUUCCCGAAACCGCGUAGAUGCUCUCACCGCCGGGAAUCGGUCCCUCGUGACCUCGUCGGCGUUUCCCUCUUCCCUCCCCACCGGUUGUCGCCGCCGCGAUUCGCCGCCGUCGAACUCCCUCUGGCGAAUCCGAGCCGUUGGCUCGUCUCCCCUCAUCACGAACAACCGCCCGGUGUGCUAGCUUUUGCCCGUAUCGCCGUGGUUCGCUCCGCCGCUCGCCGCCGCCGCCCACCGUCCAUUCGCGGCCGGGUCGUCGUCUACCUCCUGCCGGCCCGCGUGGCAGCCACGUAGGCGCCACGUCGGCGCCAGCUCAGCCUAGACCGGGUCGAGCCAACCCCGGUCAGUCCCUCCCCGUGCGCGCGUUCCACCGCGAGCCGUGAGGCUGCGCGUGGGCCCGCUGCAUCCGCGUCCACCGCGAACCGCGCGCGUGCACCGCGUCCCUCCUCCGCCCGCGCGCAUGAGCCGCGUACUCCCUCCGCAUGGUGAGCUGAGCCGCUGACAAGCGGGUCCCACCCGGGACCGCGCAUGGUGAGCCCGGUCCACCGGCUCUCUCUCUCCUCCCUCCCGCGCGCGCGCGUCUUGGGCCGCUCUGGGCCACCUUCCUGGGCCGGCCGGCCCGUUAAGCUCGGCCGAGCCGCCCUUUCUCUCGGGCCGCGCCCUAGCCGCCCGAGGGAAGUCUAUAUUCCCUCCCUCUCCCCUUUUCUUUUCUUUUCUUUUCCAAAAAAAAAGGAUUUAAUUAAAUCCUUUUCCUUUAGACCAAAAAUCCAAUAAUCUUAGAAAUUCAAUAUCUUUCCAGCCGUAAAUCCGUUUGACUCCGUUCAAAUUCCAAAAUUUCUCAAAUCUCGAGAUCUAUCUAAUGGCACGCUUAGAGGUCAUUAAUAGGGCUUUAUUUUCGCCGUUUAUUGAGUUGUCCCGUUUUGCGUGUAGUUUCGGAGCCCGAAGACCCGCAGUGCGAGGAUUUCGAGGAUCAAGCUCCAGAUCUCAAGCAAGGCAAGCCACCUUUGAACAUCUUGAGCCUAUAUUUGAAAUCUAAUUAUAUUGCUUGCAAAAUAUUAUGCAUUGAUAGGAUUGCACUUAAUCUGUUGUUCUGUCUGCAAGGCAGAUUGGCAGACCUACCUAACUUGUUGCAUUUGAUCCUUCCAUUGUUAAUUGCUAUACCAUGUCCCCUUGUAACCAUCCAGUUGCGCCUCGAUAUUCGUGCACCCUGUGCCAGUAUCGACGGUCGCCUUCAAACUUAAAAUCUGAGUAACAACUUGGGUAAAACUGGAGUUUUACAAAAGACUUGGAAAACCCGACACCUGGGUCGGUGCUUGCGAACUAAAUGAAUUUCCAAAAUCGCGGACCGGGGAACGUAACGGGUGUACGGUUUCCCGCUCUCGCACUUAAGGACCGAUUCCUUGGAAUUUCAUCCAAACAUAAGACAAGUACGACCACAUGGGUGGAAUGGGACACCCCUGGCUGAGUAACUAGCUUAUCAGGGGAGCCUUGAUGCCGAGAGACAUGUGGAUUCACCGGGGUGGUGUCGGGGAGGACCCCUGGGCUUCCUGGCACAGUAUGGUCUGGGACCUAACCUGUUGUUGGUCUGGGACCCCUCUCGUCGGCAUAUGGUAAACCUGUGUCGGCUUUGGAAAUGCCUUGUCAUGAAAGCUUGGAGGUCUCCCGACGUGGCUGAUCCCCACGGGCUGGGUGAUCCGGGUUAGUAAUAUCGUGUGGGUAAAGUGUACCCCCUCUGCAGAGGUUAACAAACUGUUCGAACAGCCGUGCCCACGGUCAUGGGCGGAUGUGAGGUGAUUCCUAGCGUAGUUUGGUUUGACUACUGCUUGUGAAAUUGCUGUGUGAAAAGGGGUUCGGUGUUUGAAAAAUCUGCAGCUGAUGGGAUCAGCUAGGCCCGGGUGGCCGUUUGAAAAGUUGUUGGCCCGGGUGGCCGUUGAAAAAGCUGUUGGCCGGGUGCCAACCUUGUUUAAAUUCUAAAGACUGAUACAUUGCACAUACUCCGACCGGACGAGACGCACUGUCUCAUCCGUGUCGUUUGAGAAGCACUCACUUAGUUGUUUCAGAAAAGAGUUCAAAUAAAAUUAAUUGCAAAAACACCAGCCUUUCCUUGAAGCCUGCAUUAAACACUUACUUCCCAUGGCUUGCUGAGUACUCCCGUACUCACCCUUGCUCUAUAUAAAUAAUCCCCCCCCAGUUGCUGAAGAAGAUGAAGCGGAUCCUGCUGAUGAGGAGUUCUUCCAGGAGCAAGCCGGCUACGAUGAGUUUUAGGGUUUCGGCCUAGUUCCCAAGUCGCGCCUGUGUUGAUUGGUCCAAGUCCUGGCUUCCGCUUUCCUUUUGUAAUGCAGUUGUGAGCUCGGGAUCUGUCCGCAGCCCAACAUGACUGUACAUCUACUCUAUAAUAAAGAGACCUCUGUUGCUGUGAUAUUCUGUCUCCCUGUGAUACCAGCACUGUUUCCUGGGACUGGUAUCGAUUAACAGGUUAAUUUGGAGCGUCACGGGCUAGUUCCGGUCAGGACUAGUUCGGGGCGUGACAUGAUCUUUGCUGGGUCGACCGAUUUUCACAACAGUCCCGAUUCUAAUAGGAACCGGAACUAAAAAUUAUUUUUUAGUCCCGGUUAAAUUUUUUUUGAUCUUUAGUCCCGGUUCGUCCAUGUCAAAGGUCUGUCAGGUGGCUAAGAAUCUUUAGUCCCGGUUGGUGAUUCCAACCGGGAGUAAAGAUUACCACUUUAGUGCCGGUUGGUAAUUCUAACCGAGAGUAAAGAUUAUUUAGAUCUUUAGUCCUGGUUGGUAAUACCAACCCCUCGUAUAUAAUCCCUAAAAUUUAUCCUCAAAUCCUCUAGCUUAAAGUCUUUCUUCCCAUCUUCCUCUCCUCUCUCUCUUAUCCUCUCUUAUUUUCUUCUUAUCCACUCUUUCCUUAUCCUCUUUCCUUGCAGAGACAGAGCGAAGCGGCGGAGGUGGUCUGGCGUGGCGCGGGGGCGGCGCCCCGCGCGGUGGGGGAGGGAGGCGGGAGCGGGCGACGGCGGCGCCCCGCGCGGCGGUGGAGGGAGGCGGCGGCCCCGCGCAGUGACGGCACAGUGGUGGAGGCGGCAACGGACGGCGGAGGUGAUGACUUUGUGAUGAUUUUGGGGAUGAUUUUGUGAUGUAAAUUUGCGGGUGAUUUUUAGAUGCUUUUUGAAUUUGUUGAUGAUUUGUGAUGUAAAUUUGUGGAUGAUUUUUAGAUGUUUCUAUGAAGUUGCCGAUGAAUCUGUGAUGUCAAUUUGUGGAUGAUUUUGUCUGUGUGUAUGAUUUUUGUUGUUGAGUUUAGUGCAAAAUAAAUAUGCAAGUAGCUAAAAACAAUAAAAGAAAAAGGAAAGAGAAAGGGUCAGCCACAUGGUGCUUUUAUUUUUUUUCUCCCGGUUGGUGACUCCAACCGGGACUAAAGAUCGUCAUCUUUAGUCCCGGAUUCUCUCUCCCGAUUUGCAACCCGGGACUAAAGAGGGUUGUGAACCGAGAGAGAUAUGGGGUUCUCCAAUAGUGUUUCCUUCAUGUUCUUUUUAAUUUAUACCCAUUUCGUUAGUUAAUUUAUAUAUGUCAUGAACGUAUUAUUACUCUUAUAUUUAUUUGCUAACUCACUGAGAAAAACACAAUUCUUAACCUGAAAAAAGUUCAUUUGUAAGAAAAAAAAGGGAUAGAAUUAUUUGAAAAACUCAAAUAAACUCAUUUGUUUUAAUAAAUUUCACAUCACAUUACAUGAAAUUCAUACAUCAUUUUCACCUAAAUUUAAACCCAACUAGUGGGGUGGCCCGCGGAAUUGCACGCUUACCACCUAUAUCGAAUUAUCUAAUAUUUUCUAAAUAGUCAACUCAUUAUUUUAGAAUUUAAAAAAUUAAAUCUCAUCAUCGUUGGGUUUUCAAAUUUAUAGUUUUAAAGACACACCAGCCACCAUCCGUCACUUAUUUGCCACUUUACUUGCUUGUUCGGCCCGCCACGGCUUCCAUACAAUCAGGUUUUAUUUUAAUGAUUUUCUAAAGUCCUGUGAAACGCUGCCACCCUACUUUUAAAGGCCCACCCGCUACCAACUAGUUUUGGACCAGUUGGUCGCAACAAUCAAGAUUUGUUAUAUUUUUGUCCUUUUUGAAAACAUAUUUUACAAAGAUCACUGAAAAAACUUAAUCCUACGUAACAGCGCCGUCCCUCUACCACUGUGCAACCUAGAGAUGACGUCAAUGAAAUUGGCACCAUCGUCCCAAUUAAUAACAUUGGUGUUGGAAACGGUGGAGGCAAUGUUUGUUCAUCCUACAAUAAUUACUACAACUUGAGAAAAUGUUCGCAUCAAUAGUAAUGAGAGUUUAUCUAGCCAUCAAACUAGGUGGACCAAAUAUUAUCAUAUUAAAACAGUGGUCCAUAUUUAUUCCAUCUACUACCUUCAUCCAAAAUGUUGCUAUCCAGUACUAAAAAUCUGGAUAGGCCUCUGUCAAGAUUCGUAGAACUUAAGAUAUCCACUACUAGAGAAACGAUCUUUGCUAGAUUGACCCAAAAUCACAAUAGUUCCGGUUCCAAAAAGAACCGGGACUAAAAAAACCCACAGCUAUUUUAUGAUUUUUAAUCCCGAUUGGUAACACCAACCAGGACUAAAAAUCAUUUUUAGUCCCGGUUCAUUCCCUGUCAGUAGGAUGUCAGGGGGCCGAGGAUCUUUAAUCCUGGUUGGUGUCACCAACCGGGACUAAAGAUCAUCUUUAUAGUCCCGGUUGGUAUUACUAACCGGGACUAAAGAUCAUAUUGAUCUUUAGUACAAGUUAGUAAUACCAACUAAGACUAAAAUUUAAUACGUAGUAUAUAAUCCCUCUUCCUUAUCCUCUCCUCCACAAUCGCAACAACAUCUCACACGUACAGAUCCCUUCCCCUUCCUCACACUUAUCCUCUUCCUCACCUUCCUCAAACUUAUCCUCUCCUCCUCCCCCUCCUCCCCUUCCUCCUCCCCCUCCUCCCUUCCCAUCCGGCCGGCGGCCGGCAGGGUCGCAGCGGCGGGUGGUGGCAGCCGGCGGGGCCGUGCCCAGUGGCGGCCAUGGCGGGCGGCGGCCGGCAGGCGGCCGGCGGGGCCGCGCCAGGCGGCGGCUGAAGGUGCCACGCGCGGCGGCGGCCGGCGGGGCCGCGCCCGGUGGCGGCCAUGGCGGGCGGCGGCGGGCAGGCGGCCGGAGGUGCCGCGCGCGGCGGUGGCCGGCGGGGACGCUUCUGGCGGCGGCCGUGCCCUCUCGUCUGCCAGCCGACUUCUUCCUUUUCUUUUAUUUUUUUUUGAUAAUUUGUGAUUGAUUGAGAUAUAUAAUUUUGUGAUGGAUCUGAGAUGAAUAUGUGAUGUAUUUAAUUUCGGUGUAUUUUUUAGGAUUUGUGAUGUAUUUGAUUUGCUUGUAUUUUUUUAGAAUUGGUGAUGUAUUUGAUUUGUGUGUAUAAGGAACUUAAGAUUUGGGAUGUUACUUUGAAUUGGAGAUUUGGGGAUAUACAUGGCACUAGAUUCAGGAGAAAAUAUAGGGAUUAACUCUAAGAAACAAUAAAAAAAGGAUCAUCUACACUGCACUGCCGCUACCCUCUUUAGUCCCGAUUGGUGAAGAUCUAUUUUUAGUCCCGGGUAUUUGAACCGGGACUAAAGAUAGCGAUCUUUAGUCCUGGAUUCGUACUCCCGGUUGGAAAACCGGGAUUAUAGGGGGUUACCAACCGGAAGUAAAAAGGCUUUCUCCACCAGUGAUCCCAUCUGCAGCAACAUUUUGGGACGAAGGUAUGAGGUAAUACUCCCUCCGUCCCAAAAUAUGGAUAGACUCUUUAUCCAUAUUCGUAGUAUUAGAAUGUGUUAUAUUCACCCAAAUCAAUUAUAUUUUAGGAUGGAUGAAGUAUUAAUUUUGAGUUUUGUAAAUAUUAAAUAAAUAUAAAAUAAAGUUGAGACUCCAUAAUAAGGGUACAAUUUGCCAAUUCAGUACUUACUAGUUCCGAGAAUUUCAUAAUUAUUAAAUCAUGAAAAAUGUUUAUAGUGAGACUCCAAACAGAGCACAACUUUUCUCUCUAUGUAUUAACUCCAAAUUAAGUUUUGGAAUUAUUUAAUCAUAUGGAAAAACUAAAGCUGAUCUGGUAAGUAUUAGCAUUUAUUAUACAUAUAAUCCAUUUUUGUAUUUGUUAAAUUUCAAAUUUGUAUAACUGUUAAUAAAAUUAAAUUAUGUAGUACUUUAUUCCAGAUAUACGACAAACAAAGUUUACAUAGUAUAACUUUUCCAACAAAAUUAAAGUACAAAUGUAAUAGAAAUAUAGCCUGUUCGAAUGCAUGCAUGGGUUACGACUAAUGAUUAUGCUGUUGGUUCAGGGAGGGAAUUUGCUACACAAAUAGUAUUCGAUACAUGCAUAUAUGCAUGCAUGUCCGUGCAUCCAUGUUUACUGAAGGAAGGCCUUCUUCUGGAGCCUGGCCUUGCGUUCCUCCGACAGCAUCUUGGCGAAAUUCUCCAGCUCCUCCUCGUUGGUGCCCCUGCUCAUGUCGGGCUCGUUCUUGCCGGUCUCGAGGUUCACCUUGCACGCCCGCUUCUUGAGCAGCGCCUUGCCAACGUCGACGAGCCGGUUCAGGUUCUCCGGCGUGGAGACGUCGACGGACGCCGUGUCGCCGGUGAGCUCGUCGUCCUGGAUGCGGAGGUAGCUCUUCUCGCAGUGCAGCGCCUGGAAGAGCACGGAGGCGUGGAUGUCGACGAGGUCGGCGCUGGCCUGGCUGAAGCUGUCGAUCAGCGGCGACGAGCCGUCGUGGUAGACCCAGUUGAUCAUCCCCCACUUGCCGGACUGAACGGCGUCGUACUUCUCCUCGAUCUUGGCCGUGCCGGUGCCCAGCGACAGGAUCAUGAAC